UACGUAGGGGGCAAGCGUUGUCCGGAUUUAUUGGGCGUAAAGAGCGUGUAGGCGGCCCGGGAGGUCCGUUGUGAAAACUCGAGGCUCAACCUCGAGACGCCGAUGGAAACCCCCUGGCUAGAGUCCGGAAGAGGAGAGUGGAAUUCCUGGUGUAGCGGUGAAAUGCGCAGAUAUCAGGAGGAACACCGGUGGCGAAGGCGGGUCUCUGGGCCCUACCUGACGCUGAGACGCGAAAGCGUGGGGAGCGAACCGG
rnacentral:rRNA from 1 species